UCCCAGGCAGUCCAGUGGUUAGGAUUCUGCGCUUUCACUGCUGAGGACUUGGGUUCAAUCCCGAGUCAGGGAA
rnacentral:tRNA from 1 species